UACGAAGGGGGCUAGCGUUGUUCGGAUUUACUGGGCGUAAAGCGCACGUAGGCAGAUCGUUAAGUCGGGGGUGAAAUCCUGGAGCUCAACUCCAGAACUGCCUUCGAUACUGGCGAUCUUGAGUCCGGAAGAGGUGAGUGGAAUGCCGAGUGUAGAGGUGAAAUUCGUAGAUAUUCGGCGGAACACCAGUGGCGAAGGCGACUCACUGGCCCGAUACUGACGCUGAGGCGCGAAAGCGUGGGGAGCAAACAGG
rnacentral:rRNA from 1 species